AUCAUAACUACAUAAAAGAGUUGAGUUUUCUGACAUUCUUAAAGAUAUACUUUUCAGUGUAUAUGUGGUAUUCUAAAAUUUAUAAUAGGGAUUUUAUUAUUUUAAUUUUUAGUGUUUCUUAGAAAUACAGACAAAGCAAGCAUAUUAUUCUGAUAUCUUUAACUCUUUGGCUUAACUCAGCCAAACUGUAAACUUUUUUUUGAAGGUAUACCAAAACUAUAGAGAUCUAUUCUUGAUUGACAGGCUUUAAUUCUUGCAAACCUACGUAUUCUUUAUGUGUGUAUUGUAUUUGAUUUCUAUGCCUUCCCCUAGUGCUAAAUCUGCCUAGCUGGUGGAAUUAUUGGAAGAACAGUUCUAGAGAAAAUCUUAGGUCAGCCACAAGGAAGAUCCCUAGAGCUCACUUUCAGCCAAUCCACAACACUUGGGUGUUCAGAACCUACCUACCCUGAUGAAUGUCUAAGUCUAGGGACUACCUGGGACCAGGUUAACCUUUCAGAUGCAGCUUAUCAGACACCCUAGUUCCAAACCUGACAAACUCAAAAUGUGGAAGGCGAGGCCAGUGUGUAUUCCUCAGUGUUCAGAAUAACAUUUUCCAUGUCUGCUUUCCAUAUUGUUAACAUUCAGGAAAGGUAAAAGAAGGCUCCUGGCUCACAUUAGUACUGUCUCCAGUAGAGGUUUUGCUGUCUAUGACCCACCUUGCAAGUGGCGAAGCAGCCCUCCACCCCAGGUAUACGGGGGAGCAUCACCCACACUCAUUCCCUUCACUGCCACUCAGAGGACACACACAGGAAGCUGUGGUAACUCUUCCGUUGUUCUUACAUCAGUUCCACCGUCUUCCCUCUUAAAGGCUUAAAAAUGCAUCUGAAGGUAAUAUUUGUAAACAUGAACUUGACAGAAAUGUUAACUUAAGCUCAAGUAAACUGUUCAUGUGUCUACGUAAAUACUCUGAUGCAAGAUAUAGAACAACAAGGGAAAUAGGAUAUGCAUGCUGGGCCUGAUCUCACUAAGGAGUCGGGUGUAAGUUAUUUAUCUUGUGAGUGUAAAUGGUUUUUAGGCCGCUCUUCUUUAUGUUUCGUUGGAACCUUAAGCCCUGGCUGAAUCAAACCACCAGAAAGCAAGUAUCUGCAUCGGGCACACUUCUAUGUGGGGACAAAGUUGGUUUAAUUUAGGGCUUCCGUAAUAAACCAGUGUUGAAAGACUGCUUAAUAUUUCAGAUCUAACUUUUUCAGUGCCUACUGAUACAUCAAGGAGACUGGCAGCACAGCAAAAUUGGGAAUCAGGCGAAUUGGGUUCCAGGACUGAAUGAUCACUGAGCAGCAGUUAUCUUACUUGAUUUGGUGUGGCUGACUCCUGUCCCCUCCCUGGAAUCCUUUGUCACUUGGCCUCCAGGACCUCACAUGCCUGUGGUUUUCCUUACUAACCUCUUCUGGUCUCCUCAGCUUUUCUUCUCCUUACCUAGUUUCUCCUUCUCUCCCAGACCUUUCAUGUUCUCAUUGAGUCUUAGGACUCCCCACACCUAUUGGUCAGCUGAUGAUUCCUUUCCUGAACUCCAGACUCCUCUAUCCAACUCCUAGUCAAUAUACCUCCACCUCAACAUAUUUCAAAUAAUACUCCUGAUCUUGUCUCCAUCAAAUGUGUUCAUUUCCCAGAUUUAUCCGUCUUGGGAAAUUAGAGACUCCAUCCUUCCAAUUGCUUAGGCCAAAAACUUGAGUCAUCCUUGACCAUUUACUUUCUCUUGUACCUCACACCCCAUCUGUUAGCAAAUCCUGUGGAAUCUCUGUUUAAAAUAUAUCUAGGGACUUCCCUGGUGGCGCAGUGGUUAACAGGGGACACGGGUUCGAGCUCUGGUCCGGGAACAUCUCACAUGCCGUGGAGCACCUAAGCCCGUGCGUCACAACUACUGAGCCUGCGCUCUAGAGCCCGCAAGCCACAACUCCUGAGCCUGUGUGCAACAACUGCUGAAGCCCUCACACCUAGAGCCGGUGCUCCACAACAAGAGAAGCCACCACAAUGAGAAGCCCGCACACCGCAAGGAACAGCAUCCCCCGCUCACUGCAACUAGAAAGCCCACGUGCGGCAACGAAGACCCAACGCAGCCAAAAAUAAAUAAAUAAAUAAUAAUUAAAAAAAAAUGGUCCACAUC
ensembl:lncRNA